GUGAGGAAUAUUCCGCAAUGGGGGAAACCCUGACGGAGCAAUGCCGCGUGCAGGAUGAAGGCCCUCGGGUCGUAAACUGCUUUUAUAUGAGAAGAAUAUGACGGUAACAUAUGAAUAAGGGACGGCUAACUACGUGCCAGCAGCCGCGGUCAUACGUAGGUCCCAAGCGUUAUCCGGAGUGACUGGGCGUAAAGAGUUGCGUAGGCGGCUCGUUAAGCGUGAAAUGAAAUUUAUCGGCUCAACCGGUAAACUAUUUCGCGAACUGACGGGCUCGAGAGUAUGAGAGGUUACUGGAAUUUCUAGUGUAGCAGUGAAAUGCGUAGAUAUUAGAAAGAACACCAACGGCGUAGGCAGGUAACUGGCAUACAUCUGACGCUGAGGCACGAAAGCGUGGGGAGCGAACCGGAUUAGAAACCCUUGUAGUCC
rnacentral:rRNA from 1 species